rnacentral:tRNA from 1 species
UAGAAAGAUAGGAAUUGAACCU